GAUGAACGCUGGCGGCGUGCCUAAUACAUGCAAGUCGAGCGAACAGAUGAGGAGCUUGCUCCUCUGACGAUAGCGGCGGACGGGAGAGUAACACGUGGAUAAUCUACCUAUAAGACUGGGAUAACUUCGGGAAACCGGAGCUAAUACCGGAUAAUAUAUUGAACCGCAUGGUUGAAUAGUGAAAGACGGCUUUUCUGUCACUUAUAGAUGGAUCCCGGCCGCAUUAGGUAGUUGGUAAGGUAACGGCUUACCAAGGCAACGAUGCGUAGGCGAGCUCAGGGGGUGAUAGGCCGCACUGGAACUGAGACACGCUCCAGGCUCCUACGAGAGGCAGCAGUAGGGAAUCUGCCGCAGUAGGCGGAAGCCUUACAGAACAACGCCGCGUCAGUGAUGGAGGUGUUCCGAUCGUAAUACUCUGUUAUUAGGGAAAAACAGAUGUGUAAGUAACUGUGCACGUCUUGACGGUACCUAAUCAAAAAGCCACGGCUAACUACGUG
rnacentral:rRNA from 1 species